UCCCUGGAGGACUAGUGGUUAGGUUAUGGUGCUCUCAUCGCUGCGGCUUGGGUUCGAUUCCCUGCCAGGGAA